AUUGAACGCUGGCGGCAUGCCUUACACAUGCCAGUCGAACGGUAACGGGCCUUCGGGUGCCGACGAGUGGCGAACGGGUGAGUAAUACAUCGGAACGUGCCCGAUCGUGGGGGAUAACGAGGCGAAAGCUUUGCUAAUACCGCAUACGAUCUACGGAUGAAAGCAGGGGACCGCAAGGCCUUGCGCGGACGGAGCGGCCGAUGCAGAUUAGGUAGUUGGUGGGAUAAAAGCUUACCAAGCCGACGAUCUGUAGCUGGUCUGAGAGGAUGAUCAGCCACACUGGGACUGAGACACGGCCCAGACUCCUACGGGAGGCAGCAGUGGGGAAUUUUGGACAAUGGGCGCAAGCCUGAUCCAGCCAUGCCGCGUGCAGGAUGAAGGCCUUCGGGUUGUAAACUGCUUUUGUACGGAACGAAAAGCCUUCUUUUAAUACAGGAGGGUCAUGACGGUACCGUAAGAAUAAGCACCGGCUAACUACGUG
rnacentral:rRNA from 1 species